CACACACACACACACACUCACGUCAGACCCCAGGCUGCUAGCACCUGCCCCCACGCACUCUGGGCGCACAGCCUCCUGCUGCGGCGGUCACUCACCUUCCGCGCGCGAGCGGAUCUCCGACACUGUCCUCCGCAUGGUCGGCAUCUCGACAGCCCCUGCAGGAGAGCUGUGACUGUGGAGCCAUCAAGGCUGAGAGGACAGAGAAGCCACCGGCUGCUGCUCAGAACUGGGAAGGAACUGUGGACACUGCCAGGUGGGGUGCCACAAGGUGAAUAGGCCUCCUCCUGCAUAUGCCCUUCUUAGGAAGCACUGUGCUACCAAAGGCCCAAGGCAACAAGCCCAAUACAGCUCAGAGGCUAAGAACAAUGGCUGCUCUUACAGGGGACCCUGGUUCAAUUCCCAGCAUCCUCAUGGUCUUGUGGGUAAAACUAUCUUUGAAUCCUCUCAAGAAAUCUGAAGAUGGCUUGUGGUCUGCAUUCUUCUUGGAUACCUACGACAGGUAAGGUACUCAUUCCAUUGAGUGUUAGCGGAGAUUCCUGAUAGUCCCACAGACGCUCUCGUCCUCUUCCAGACUAGUCUGCCAGGGUCCUUUGCUGUGCCAAAGUAACUCCGUAUGCCUAACUCAGAGGUCCUGACACACCCCAAGGCAUGGGUUAAAAUACUGAAAGUGGGCCAUUGUCUUAGUCCACUGUUGAGAUUCCAUGGCAUAUGAGGCCAUUUCCCUUAUUAACAUGCAAAAGUGGUUUACAUUAAGUCAAGGAGAUUCCUGGAGACCUGCUUAAUAAGGUGAUUAAAUCUCAGAUAGUAUUUAUUAAGCCAUAAUAAUAAUAAUAAUAAUAAUAAUAAAUAAAUAAUUCCUUGUACUAUCAGAAAAUGAUACUAUUCUUGCUGUUUACCUUUGACUAAACUAGAGAAACACAACAUUUUCAGAGGGUUUCUUAGUGUCUCUUAAUCUUUACCCACAAGAUGCAAAUAAGUUGUGACUUAAUACACUCUGGCAUCUCUGGAUGUGUCAUUACAACGUUGGUAUUUUUAUUAAGUCCCUAAAAUGCAUGUGUAAAUGAAUUAUUGAAAUUACAUAGAUCUAUAAGCUUCAGUAUGUAAAAUUCCCCUUUUGCAUUUCAUAGCUGUUUGCUUGUCUGUGUAUUUCUAGAUGAUUUGUUAUACCAUUACUGGAGCCAAUUCUUCUAAUACCUAUAAUGCAUUUUGUUAUUUAUCUCCAAAAUUCCUACUUGGAAGCCCUAACCUAUAGCACAGUGGGAUAUGACCUUAUUUCGAGGUAGAGCCAUGGCAGAUGUAAUUAAGAUAAGGCCAUAUUGGAAUUGGAAUCUCUAACUUAGUAUGGAUGGUGUUCCUUUCAGUAUGGGCGGUGUUCUUACAUAGCCAAAAAUUUUAGAAAGAAUCACAUGUACAAAGAAAACACCAAGUGCCGCCAGUGAAGGCCACCUAUAAUCAGAAAGCCACCAGAGGUCAGAGCACCAGGUCUCUUGCACUCUCAGAGGUUUCCAGUCUUGAGAAUCUUAAUAAUGCUGUUGUUUAGUCCACUUGAGUUAAGGACAGUGCUAUGACAGCUUUAACAACCUAAUACAAUUACUAUCACUUAAUUCAAAUGGGACAGGAUAGCUUGGUUGAGUCAUCUCUCCAGCCCCCAAAUGUAUAUAGGCCAGGCUGGUCUUAAACUGUCUCUGUCUCUUUCAGAAAAUCUUACUAGCAAGCACCCCACAACCAGAGGAGCUGGAGGGAAUGGAGGACACAAGGAGAACACAACACACAGAAUCAACUAAGCAGGGCUCAUAGUGGCACUCACGGAGCCUCCAUGGGUCUGUGCUAGGUCCCCCGCGAGUACGUUAUGAUUGUUAGCUUGGUGUUUUGGUACUCCCACUUCUAACAGUGGGAGUGAGGGAAUCUCUGACUCUUUUUAUCUUCUCUUGGGACCCUUUUUCCUCCUACUGGGUUGUCUUACCCAGUCCUGAUUGAGGGUCUGUGUCUAGUCUUAUUGUAACUUGUUAUGCUGUGUUUAGUUGAUACUCCUGGGAGGCCUGGUCUUUUCUGAAGGGAAAUUGAGGAGGAAUGGAUCUGUGGGAGAGGGGAGGUGGGUGGGGGAACUGGGAGGAAUGGAGAGGGAGGAAACUGCAGUUGGGAUGUAUUAUAUGAGAGAAGAAUAAAACAAAAUACACAUCUCUAUAGUUUAUUUUCGUUUCAUCUGGGACAUUUGAUUAAAGAGCCAUUUUCAAGCUGCUAUGGGUUUUAGGAGAUUAAAGCCAAAUGUACCAUAUAUCCCAAGAAGGAUUGGAUGCUGUGUACUAAUGACCCUUAAGGUUAAGUGUUUAAAGAACCAUUUUGAAUUCUACAUAUGAGCCUGAAAUAUUUUACAAAACCAGAAAGAGGAUUGAAGAUCACUCAGUCGCUUUCAAAGCUCUGCUACGUGUUAAAGCAUGGCAGCACGCUUCUGGAUAAUGUCAUCUCGAUAAAGUUUGCUUUAAGUGGAGAGUUGUGCACUGAAUGUUCCAAAUACCUAGAGAAGAAAGAGCCUGUACAUACAUGUGACAACUUUUAACAUAUGAAGUUUUCUUUGCCUUUAUGUUGCAAAUGGACUGCUUUUAAGAUGAAUUUAUCCAUUGUAAGACCAUGGACUAUUUUUUGUACUGUGGCCUGAUUUUAAAGGACCCUCACUGUUCUUGGAGUUUACACUUGUGUUAAAAUAACAGUGUAUGGAAAAUUGAUUUGGCUAUGCACUAUACAUCAAAGUAAUUCCUAGUACAGUAAGAUUGACAUUAUAAUUGGUAACAUUUAUGUUGCUAAGGCGAUUCUCAUUUUUAACACAUGAAAUGCAGUAUAACACCCCUCUUCCUUUAUCUCUAUUAUUUAUUUAUUUAUUUAUUUAUUUAUUUAUUUAGUGUUUGUGUGCUCAUAUGUGAGCACACCUACUAUGGGUCAUAUGUGGGAAUCAGAGGGCAAUUUGUAGGAGUGAGUUCACUCAGUGUAUCAGGUAGGUUUUGGGGAUUGAACUCAAGUCCUUUAGGUUGGCAGCAGGCACCUUUACCAUCUCAGUGCCCUCCUCUCCCGUGUUGUGAAUAUGGUCACUGCUAACUGAAUGGUGCUGUCAACUACAUAGCCCUGUACUCUUAACCCUGGUCAAGGCUACAUCACAGGUCAGAAAUAGAGCUGUGAAAGUAUGUGACAAUGCAAUACACACGUGCAGACUCACACAUGCAUGUGUGCUUGUGCACACACCCACACCCACAGUUUUUUUCUUACUUUGCAAAGUGAGGACUUAUCAACAAGAAAAUAAUGUUGUUAUGUGAUUAUCGUCAUUUAAGUAAGUAAUCCUUUGACAUUUUUAUCAUAGUAAUUUUCAAAUAUGUAAAAAUGGAGAGAUGGGUAACCCACAGUUGCACCCCUGCCAUUCUAGUCUUUGCCUGUUAGCUAAGAUUCUAAUCCACUGUCAUUCUUGUUUGAAUUCAUGAUUGUUUCUGUAUACUUCUAUAUGGACAUGCCUUGCACAGUUUCCUGAUAAUUUUGAACAGAAUACUAGACAUUGGAGAAUUUUAUCAGCAACUAAUUCAACUUGUGUAUCUAAAUGAUAAAAAAUUUCUUGAGCUUGCAAGAAAUUAUCCUUAUAAAUAUAAAAAACUUUAAAACCUGACAGAAAUUUAUUGAUAUUAACUACUAUCCAGCAUGUGCCUUAUUCUCCACGUUAGAUUGAUUCAUUUGAAUUAAUUUCCAAGCAAGUUUUCCCCAGGAAUUUGGUUUUAUAGAUGGGGCUUGUUUCUUCUAAUUUACAGAUUUUCUGUACCCUUUUUUUCUGUUUGCAAUGUAUUUGUUGAAGAAACCAUACCAUUUGCCUUGUUGAGUUUCCUGAAUUUCUUUUAUUUGUCUAAGUGCUUCUUUGUGGUAUAAUUUAACAUGAACUUUCUUGCACUGAAAAGUGCUAAAUAGAACUAAAGGCUUUGGGUUGCUUUGUUCAGCAUCCUUUAUUAGCUUUUGGAGUCCAAUGAUUUUGUCCUGUGCAUGUAUGUGCAGUUAUGAAAAUUAGCUUUAUUGGGAUAGAGUAAUGUACCAUUAAGCAAUACAUAAUUUAUAAGACAAAAAAUAUAAUAUUUUUUUUCACUGUAUAGGUCUUUUUUUUUAGGAGGGCAUACUGCUUAGAGAAAACUGUUGUAGGUAGCAAUUCAUAUUUCCUUUCAGAAUUCUUUUUUAAUGAGGAAUUUUGAACUGUCUCUUGAGAUUGAACUCUUUAUUUCCCAGCAGAGAUUUCUGUACUAGUAAUUCCAUCAACUAAAGUUAUAUGUAGUCUGGCA
rnacentral:lncRNA from 1 species